UGGAGGAAUACCAGGUAACUAAAACUUUGAAGCACAGCACCAGACGCCAACUUGUCAAUAUUGUUGUCAGUCACAUGACAGAGACUUACGGGAGGAUCCCCACCCGCAAACAGCGUGAGACUUAUGCUUUAGGAAUUGUUAGUCUCUUUCCUUCUUUGAGAGACCCAUUUUCAGCAAAGGGCUAUGAACAUUUUUAUGAUCCU